rnacentral:rRNA from 1 species
UCGAAACGAAUGGAAUGGGGGAGCAAGACGGCAAAGCAAAAGACUGUCGCUGGCUAGAUUCAUUUCUGGCAUGUGCACGUCCUUGCUUUUUUCGUCGACCUUUCUCUUUCUUUCUUUCACACCUGUGCACCCGUUGUAGGUCCUCGAAAGAGGAUCUAUGUUCUCUAUCACACCCGAUCGUCGUAUGUCCAUAGAAUGUAACGAAUAAAAUACAACUUUCAGCAACGGAUCUCUUGGCUCUCGCAUCGAUGAAGAACGCAGCGAAUUGCGAUAAGUAAUGUGAAUUGCAGAUUUUCAGUGAAUCAUCGAAUCUUUGAACGCACCUUGCGCUCCUUGGUAUUCCGAGGAGCAUGCCUGUUUGAGUGUCAUUGAAUUCUCAACCAUGUCUCGAUCGACUUCGAGGCAUGGCUUGGAGUUUGGGAGUUGCUGGCGUCAAGUCAGCUCUUCUGAAAUACAUUAGCGAUGGACGACCAUGUCCUGAUGUGCACGGCCUACCGACGUGAUAAUGAUCGUCGUGGCUGGAGCGUUCGGACGUCGCAUCUUCAUGGUCU